rnacentral:misc_RNA from 1 species
GAAUUUAGAUAGCGGCGAAGCUGAGCAUCCGGAUGCAAGUGCUAGUGAUGGCGGAGCACAGGAAAAUGGAGUUGAAUUUACUCCUGUGCCUAGCCAAAUAUCGGUACCACCUAUUGCUUCAAGCAGAGCUGGGCGAUCAAUGUCUUUCAAAUCAAGAUUAGGGCUUUUUAGUGGGAGAAGUUUUGUGGUAUGCACUUUGAGAAGGUGGUCAAGCGGUAGUAGCAGUUCUCGAAGUUAAUUAGAUUAAGGACUGAUUUGAUUGGAGAUUAAGGACUGAUAUAAGUUUCAGAGCGGAAAAAUGGGUCCUGGGUCUUGGUAUGUUUGCGUUAUUUUCCAUUGUAUC